rnacentral:rRNA from 1 species
GUGCCAGCAGCCGCGGUAAUUCCAGCUCCAAUAGCGUAUAUUAAAGUUGUUGUGGUUAAAAAGCUCGUAGUUGAACCUUGGGCCUGGCUGGCCGGUCCGCCUCACCGCGUGCACUGGUCCGGCCGGGCCUUUCCCUCUGUGGAACCCCAUACCCUUCACUGGGCGUGGCGGGGAAACAGGACAUUUACUUUGAAAAAAUUAGAGUGCUCCAGGCAGGCCUAUGCUCGAAUACAUUAGCAUGGAAUAAUAAAAUAGGACGCGCGGUUCUAUUUUGUUGGUUUAUAGGACCGCCGUAAUGAUUAAUAGGGACAGUCGGGGGCAUCAGUAUUCAACUGUCAGAGGUGAAAUUCUUGGAUCAGUUGAAGACUAACUACUGCGAAAGCAUUUGCCAAGGAUGUUUUCAUUAAUCAGGAACGAAAGUUAGGGGAUCGAAGACGAUCAGAUACCGUCGUAGUCUUAACCAUAAACUAUGCCGACUAGGGAUCGGACGGUGUUAUUCAUGACCCGUUCGGCACCUUACGAGAAAUCAAAGUGCUUGGGCUCCAGGGGGAGUAUGGUCGCAAGGCUGAAACUUAAAGAAAUUGACGGAAGGGCACCACCAGGGGUGGAGCCUGCGGCUUAAUUUGACUCAACACGGGGAAACUCACCAGGUCCAGACACAAUAAGGAUUGACAGAUUGAGAGCUCUUUUCUUGAUUUUGUGGUGGUGGUGCAUGGCCGUUCUUAGUUGGUGGGGUGACUUGUCUGCUUAAUUGCGAUAACGAACGAGACCUUAAUCCUG